rnacentral:rRNA from 1 species
ACAUGCAGUCGAACGGUAAGGCCCCAGCUUGCUGGGGUACACGAGUGGCGAACGGGUGAGUAACACGUGGGUGACCUGCCCCGCACUUCGGGAUAAGCCUGGGAAACUGGGUCUAAUACCGGAUAGGACCGCACCGUGAGGGUGUGGUGGAAAGUUUUUCGGUGUGGGAUGGGCCCGCGGCCUAUCAGCUUGUUGGUGGGGUAAUGGCCUACCAAGGCGGCGACGGGUAGCCGGCCUGAGAGGGUGGACGGCCACAUUGGGACUGAGACACGGCCCAGACUCCUACGGGAGGCAGCAGUGGGGAAUAUUGCACAAUGGGCGGAAGCCUGAUGCAGCGACGCCGCGUGGGGGAUGACGGCCUUCGGGUUGUAAACUCCUUUCACCAUCGACGAAGGUUUUCUGACGGUAGAUGGAGAAGAAGCACCGGCUAACUACGUGCCAGCAGCCGCGGUAAUACGUAGGGUGCGAGCGUUGUCCGGAAUUACUGGGCGUAAAGAGCUCGUAGGUGGUUUGUCGCGUCGUCUGUGAAAUUCCGGGGCUUAACUCCGGGCGUGCAGGCGAUACGGGCAUAACUUGAGUACUGUAGGGGAGACUGGAAUUCCUGGUGUAGCGGUGAAAUGCGCAGAUAUCAGGAGGAACACCGGUGGCGAAGGCGGGUCUCUGGGCAGUAACUGACGCUGAGGAGCGAAAGCAUGGGUAGCGAACAGGAUUAGAUACCCUGGUAGUCCAUGCCGUAAACGGUGGGCGCUAGGUGUAGGGGUCUUCCACGACUUCUGUGCCGUAGCUAACGCAUUAAGCGC